UUUGGGCGGCAUUGAAAAUCAGUUCCGUGUUCAACACAUGUUUAGAAUAUUAGGGCUUGCAGUAAAACGAAAGUCAAAUUUCAUAUGAAUUAUUUGGAAAAUGCGAUGAGUUGUUCGUUGGCCGAAACAUAUUUGACGUCGGAACAGUACUCUCAUUAUGUUGAUCGGAGCAUGAUAAUCGCAAUAUUUCUAAAAACUAUGAACAUAAUAUACAAGCCUGCGAAUAUGAUAUCUAUUUGAGGCAUCCUAUACCUUGGCUAACCUUUUCUAGACACAUACGGCAUUAACAAAGGCUUUAAUUCAGCGUCUUAUUGGCACGAAAAUGUAUCUAAAUAGCAGUUGAUUAUUAUUCAUUGUCUGCUCAUUUUGGCCGACUUCAUUCCCUUUAUAUUUCUGGAUUCUCUUCCUCCAGCAAACCGAACACGGGGCGUCAAUUAUGCUAACAACCUCAAACACUCAUAAUCACUCCACAGGCAAUCGUUUAGAUAAGAGCGCGCCCGUCGCGUUAAGUAAACGCUGCGGGAUAUGCGAUGGCAUUAGGGAGAAACUCCGUUCGGAAAAGCGGAAAAAGUCUAGGCGCAGCAUUGGGAAACAAAAGCACGAUAAGUGCCAUAAACAAG